UUCUUGGACAUAACAUGAAGCUUUUGCUAGUUAUUAUAUGGCGAUGUCUAAUGAUUAAGUCAAUCAAUAUCCUGAUAUUAAAUAAUAAUUAUAUUUUUAAUUUUGUCCUACUAUCAUAAUUAAAACUUGAAAAGAUUAAUAAUUAAUUGAUUUAGUCAUUAGUUGGAUGGCAUGAAUCAUUUUUAGCACACUCAAAAUAAAUAAAUAAAUAAGUAAAAUAAAAGGGGAAUGUUUUUGGAUUUGAUUUGGGUAUAUAUAAGGAUGAACAUAUCAAAAAUCCUAUUCACAUUUAAUUGGUUUAUUUCUAGUCAGUCAUUAAGGCAGAGGAACUAGAAAAGUGCACUAACCAAAAUUUAGUCAUCUGUCGAAUGACUUAGACAUGGUUAUCACCCCAUAACUUCAUUCUAAAAUUUAGGACUCGAAACACAAGCUUAGGAGCUUUACAAAACACAAUUUCGUACAUUUGUUUUAUAAAGAAUAUUAAAUUGAAAUACUUCAAACUUAUGAUAGAUCCACAAUCAAUCAUAAUCCUGAACAAAUCCAAGCUACAAACUUUGCAACUAUUUGCUAAUACUAUUUAGUAACCUCAAAAAAAAAAAAAGAGAUAAUACUAUUUAGUGCGUGCAAGGCAUAUCCUUGUUCAUGAAGCAGGAAAAAAAAAAAAGAGCAGAAACUUUAGGUGUAAGAGGGAGAG
rnacentral:lncRNA from 1 species